rnacentral:misc_RNA from 1 species
UUUCCGUAGGUGAACCUGCGGAAGGAUCAUUAAAGUUAUAGUCCCCCGGCCCCUCCGGGCUGGGGUCUUCUAUACCACCCUUUGUUUAUUACACCUUUGUUGCUUUGGCAGGCCUGCCCUCGGGCUGCUGGCUCCGGCCGGCUCGUGCCUGCCAGAGGACCUAAACUCUGUUUGUAUAUGAAGGCUGAGUACUAUAUAAUAGUUAAAACUUUCAACAACGGAUCUCUUGGUUCCG